GGGCUGUGCACUGCGCCAGCGCCGACAACGGGCUUGAUAACGUGUAUAUAAUAAUAGUUACUUAUGCUUUGUCGCUAUCAUUUGCAACCGACCUCCUCGACCGAGCGUAAAAAGCAGAACAACAACAGCUGUGCUGUCUUUUUGCACACUUAGUCAUUGCCGAGUUGGAAAUUGAAAGUAGUUACGGCUUUUAAGAUAUUACGGUAAUAUUCAUAAAGAUUAACGAAGAACAUUUUUCAUGCAACUUAUUUUAUUUUUUCUAAACGCUGAUAAAAUGCCUCUAAGUAGAUUUAUCCACAUAAGUGGAUAAAAAAAGUAAAAUCCUCUGUGGAAAGCGUAAGUUGAAUACCAGUUAAUACAGAUAAGAUUACAUAAAUAUUCAGGAAGUUCAAUGAUGCUGCUUUUCUUCACGUUGGCAAGGAAGAGGUAAUAUAUCCGUUCAGGAUCCAGGAUGACUUGUCCGUUCAUAUUCUCGAUGAAAGACUUUCCAUUAUCAUACUUUUUGGUUGUUGUGGCGGCAGCAAACAUUCCUCUCAAAUAUUACGAACUGCUGCCGUAUGGACAGUCGUUGGACGGAAAUAAAAAGCGUUACAGAUAAGUUGACCCGAUUGUCGUAGGAACGAAAACUAUUUUACGUUCCGAAGUAUAUCCAAGAUACGCAAAUAUAUAUUGGCCCAUUACACUAACUAUGAAAAGUAAAUAUAUGUUCAGUUGUUUUUUCAGAAACCAUUUCAUUAAAUUUAACCAGAACUUUUACAGAAAUUAUUGUUUUAAUAGAAAUCUUUAUUAUUUAAUUAAUUCGAAAUGGUAUUAUUUGUUCGACGAUGCGCUUCAAACAUGUUUAGAAGAUCUCAUAAUUUGCGUUCGUUAACUGCGUUACUGCGGCUAUUUGGAACUCAAUAAAGCAGCCUCUCUGAAAACAUAGCUGUCAGGGGAAUUCAGAUAAGAUGGUGCCAAGAUUAAGCGCGCUUUGAUGUUGUCCGACAACUGUAGAGAACUACAUACAAGUUUUAAGCCAAUUCUGAACGUUUAAUCAAUUUUAUGAGAAGUUUUUUUAUGGCACAAAGACGCCGCUAGUAGGAAGUGGAAUCGAAGUUAGAGAAGUUGUACCUCUAACCACUACACCAUGUCGGCCGCAUAAAAUUACAAAUAUUUUUGUUUUCGGUCCAAGGAUGAAAAAGAAACAAACAAACACUAAAAUAUAAUAGUUAGAAUGUUAAAAAAUUAAAUAUUUUUAAAAUCCAAACGUGAGUUGAAACUGAAACACACAAACUAUUAAAUAUUUAAAGUUAGCCAAAAUACGACGUAACCAUUUUUAAAUUCAUUUGACGUGGCAGUAAUUCUAUCAGUACCGUCUAUCCAUCUUUUUUAUUGGAAUAAUCAUCUGAUAAGAAAUAUUUGCGUUAUAAACCAGUCGCUGAUAAACUAACACUAUCGGAUGUUAAAGAAUCGGUUUUCUUAGACCAACUUUGGAAAAUUAUGAUAGUAGCUAAUAACAAGCCUUAGUAUUUCGUCUCUUUAAUAAUUAAAAAUAAGAAAAAAAUUCCUUUUGGGUAUUAUAUCAAAUAAUCAAGCAUUAGAUUUGUUUAAAGUUCUCCAAAAUUAUAUUCAUCUCUUCAAUUUGAUAUUUUGCCUUGGUCGACAUAGCUGAGCGCUCGCCUAAGAUGAAAGAUAAUAAUAGACGUCUAAGCCGACCAGCUGUAUGCAGAGCCAACAUAAACUUAGCCCUUUCACUUUUCAUGAGUCUUGUACAAUUAAAGCCGAAAUAAAAUUAGCGGCGUAUUGCCUAACAUUA